UUCAUUGAGAGUUUGAUCCUGGCUCAGGAUGAACGCUGGCGGCGUGUUUAAGGCAUGCAAGUCGUGCGCCCCGACGCAAGUCGGGGAGCGGCAAACGGGUGAGUAACACAUUGGUAACCUGCCUCCGAGACGGGCAUAGCCCACCGAAAGGUGGAUUAAUACCCGAUAGUCAUGCGGGGUCAUAAGACAUUCGCAUGUAAAUCCCGCAAGGGGCUUGGAGAGGGGCCUAUGUCCUAUCAGCUAGUUGGCGGGGUAACGGCCCACCAAGGCGACGACGGGUAGCAGGCGUGAGAGCGUGACCUGCCUCACUGGGACUGAGACACUGCCCAGACACCUACGGGUGGCUGCAGUCAAGAAUAUUCCACAAUGGACGAAAGUCUGAUGGAGCGACGCCGCGUGCAGGAAGAAGCCCUUCGGGGUGUAAACUGCUUUUACGAGGGACGAAUUCGUGACGGUACCUCGGGAAUAAGAGGUUGCUAACUCUGUGCCAGCAGCAGCGGUAAUACAGAGACCUCUAGCGUUAUCCGGAAUCAUUGGGCGUAAAGGGUCCGCAGGUGGUCCGAUGCGUCCUUCGUUAAACUCCGGGGCUUAACCCCGGAACUGCGGAGGAUACGGUCGGACUUGAGGCCGGGAGAGGCAAGCGGAACACACGGUGUAGUCGUAAUAAGCGCUGAUAUCGUGUGGAACACCAAAGGCGAAGGCAGCUUGCUGGAACGUGCCUGACACUCAUGGACGAAAGCGUGGGUAGCGAAUGGGAUUAGAUACCCCAGUAGUCCACGCCCUAAACGUUGCGCACUAGGUUUUGGGAGUAUCGACCCUCCCAGAGCCGUUUAAAAAAGCUAACGCGUUAAGUGCGCCGCCUGGGGAGUACGAUCGCAAGAUUAAAACUCAAAGGAAUAGACGGGGACCCGCACAAGCGGUGGAUCAUGUGGUUUAAUUCGACGAUACGCGAGGAACCUUACCUGGGCUUGACAUAUAGCUGCAUAUCUUUGGAAACAGAGAUAGCCUUCGAGGGUGCUAUACAGGUGCUGCAUGGUUGCCGUCAGCUCGUGCCGUGAGGUGUACCCUUCAGUGGGGUAACGAGCGCAACCCUCGCUGUCUGUUAAAUCUACAGACGGGACUGCCCGCGCAAGCGGGAGGAAGGUGGGGACGACGUCAAAUCAGCAUGGCUCUUACGUCCAGGGCGACACACAUGAUACAAUGGCCGGUACAAAGGGUUGCCAAACCGCGAGGUGGAGCAAAUCCCAAAAAGCCGGCCCCAGUUCGGACUGAAGGCUGCAACUCGCCUUCACGAAGCCGGAAUCGCUAGUAACCGCGCAUCAGAACGACGCGGUGAAUACGUUCCCGGGUCUUGUACUCACCGCCCGUCACACCACGAAAGCUGGGGGCGCCCAAAGGCUCCUUCGGGGGACUAAGGCGACACCAGUGAUCAGGGUGAAGUCGUUGAGUGAUACUCACUGUUGCGACUUUUCA
rfam:Candidatus Magasanikbacteria bacterium RIFCSPHIGHO2_02_FTLL_51_14 rifcsphigho2_02_scaffold_34150, whole genome shotgun sequence.